rnacentral:rRNA from 1 species
UACCUGCAGCUCAAGUGGUAACCGCUAUUAUUGGGCCUAAAGCGUCCGUAGCCGGUUUGGUAAAUAUCUGGGUAAAUCGUGAGGCUUAACUUCACGAAUUUCGGAUAGACUACCAGACUUGGGAUCGGGGGAGGUCAGAGGUACUCCAGGGGUAGCGGUGAAAUGUUGUAAUCCUUGGAGGACCACCGGUAGCGAAGGCGUCUGACUAGAACGAGUCCGACGGUGAGGGACGAAGCCCUGGGGCGCAAACCGGAUUAGAUACCCGGGUAGUCCAGGGUGCAAACGAUGUGGGCUUUGUAUUGGAGGUCCCACGUGGGCGUCCAGUGCAGAAGAGAAGUUGUUAAGCCCACCGCCUGGGAAGUACGGUCGCAAGGCUGAAACUUAAAGGAAUUGGCGGGGGAGCACAGCAACGGGAGGAGCGUGCGGUUU